rnacentral:rRNA from 1 species
GUCUAUUAUGAAUUUAUUUAUAGUCUAGCCUGCUCACUGAUAAAAUUAUUAAAUAGCCGCGGUAUCUUGACCGUGCAAAGGUAGCAUAAUCAUUAGUUUUUUAAUUGAAAACUUGUAUGAAUGGUUGGACAAAGAAAAAGCUGUCUCUUUCAUUAAAAUUGAAUUUAACUUCUAAGUGAAAAGGCUUAGAUAUUUUAGAGGGACGAUAAGACCCUAUAAAGCUUUAUAAAUUUAAAGAUUUUAUAUAUUUUUUAUUAUAAUGAUAAUUUCUCAAAAAUUUAUUGGGUUGGGGCAACAAAAGUAUAAUUAUCAAUAACUGCUAUAAAUUACUACAAUUAUUUUUGUUAUUAGAGAGUCGUUGAUCCUCGAAAGGGAUUAAAAGAUCAAGUUACUUUAGGGAUAACAGCGUAAUUUAUCUUGAGAGUUCUUAUCAAAGGAUAAGUUUGCGACCUCGAUGUUGAAUUAAAAUGUCUUUAUAGUGCAGCAGCUAUACCAAGAAGGUCUGUUCGACCUUUAAUUUUU